rnacentral:rRNA from 1 species
CCUACGGGAGGCAGCAGUGAGGAAUAUUGGUCAAUGGGAGAGAUCCUGAACCAGCCAAGCCGCGUGAGGGAAGACGGCCCUAUGGGUUGUAAACCUCUUUUGUCGGAGAACAAAACCCGGGACGUGUCCCGGACUGCGUGUAUCCGAAGAAAAAGCAUCGGCUAACUCCGUGCCAGCAGCCGCGGUAACACGGAGGAUGCGAGCGUUAUCCGGAUUUAUUGGGUUUAAAGGGUGCGUAGGCGGUCCGUUAAGUCAGCGGUAAAAUUGCGGGGCUCAACCCCGUCGAGCCGUUGAAACUGGCAGACUGGAGUGGGCGAGAAGUACGCGGAAUGCGCGGUGUAGCGGUGAAAUGCAUAGAUAUCGCGCAGAACUCCGAUUGCGAAGGCAGCGUACCGGCGCCAGACUGACGCUGAGGCACGAAAGCGUGGGGAUCGAACAGGAUUAGAUACCCGUGUAGUC